rnacentral:rRNA from 1 species
AUUGAACGCUGGCGGCAUGCCUUACACAUGCAAGUCGAACGGUAACAGGUCUUCGGAUGCUGACGAGUGGCGCACGGGUGAGUAAUACAUCGGAACGUGCCCGAUCGUGGGGGAUAACGAGGCGAAAGCUUUGCUAAUACCGCAUACGAUCUACGGAUGAAAGCGGGGGAUCUUCGGACCUCGCGCGGACGGAGCGGCCGAUGACAGAUUAGGUAGUUGGUGGGAUAAAAGCUUACCAAGCCGACGAUCUGUAGCUGGUCUGAGAGGAUGAUCAGCCACACUGGGACUGAGACACGGCCCAGACUCCUACGGGAGGCAGCAGUGGGGAAUUUUGGACAAUGGGCGAAAGCCUGAUCCAGCCAUGCCGCGUGCAGGAUGAAGGCCUUCGGGUUGUAAACUGCUUUUGUACGGAACGAAAAGCCUCUUUCUAAUAAAGAGGGGUCAUGACGGUACCGUAAGAAUAAGCACCGGCUAACUACGUG